rnacentral:rRNA from 1 species
ACGCACGCUGGCGGCAUGCCUAACACCUGCCAGUCGAACGAGACCUUCGGGUCUAGUGGCGCACGGGUGCGUAACGCGUGGGAAUCUACCCUCAGGUUCGGAAUAACUCAGAGAAAUUUGAGCUAAUACCGGAUGAUGACGUAAGUCCAAAGAUUUAUCGCCUGAGGAUGAGCCCGCGUAGGAUUAGGUAGUUGGUGAGGUAAAGGCUCACCAAGCCGACGAUCCUUAGCUGGUCUGAGAGGAUGAUCAGCCACACUGGGACUGAGACACGGCCCAGACUCCUACGGGAGGCAGCAGUGGGGAAUAUUGGACAAUGGGCGAAAGCCUGAUCCAGCAAUGCCGCGUGAGUGAUGAAGGCCUUAGGGUUGUAAAGCUCUUUUACCCGGGAUGAUAAUGACAGUACCGGGAGAAUAAGCUCCGGCUAACUCCGUG